CUGAUGCUGGUGCGGGGCGCCAGCCGGUUGCGGGCCGUCGAGGCGCCGCCGGUCACGCGGCGGCAUCGGGC
rnacentral:tRNA from 1 species